AACGAACGCUGGCGGCAUGCCUAACACAUGCAAGUCGAACGAGACCUUCGGGUCUAGUGGCGCACGGGUGCGUAACGCGUGGGAACCUGCCCUUAGGUUCGGAAUAACUCCCCGAAAGGGGUGCUAAUACCGGAUAAUGUCUUCGGACCAAAGAUUUAUCGCCUUUGGAUGGGCCCGCGUUGGAUUAGCUAGUUGGUAGGGUAAACGCCUACCAAGGCGACGAUCCAUAGCUGGUCUGAGAGGAUGAUCAGCCACACUGGGACUGAGCAACGGCCCAGACUACUACGGGAGGCAGCAGUGGGGAAUAUUGGAAAAUGGGCGAAAGCAUGAUCCAGCAAUGCCGCGUGAGUGAUGAAGGCCUUAGGGUUGUAAAGCUCUUUUACCCGGGAUGAUAAUGACAGUACCGGGAGAAUAAGCUCCGGCUAACUCCGUG
rnacentral:rRNA from 1 species